UACGUAGGAUCCAAGCGUUGUCCGGAUUUACUGGGUGUAAAGGGUGCGCAGGCGGACUUAUAAGUUAGGGGUGAAAUCUCUCGGCUCAACCGAGAAACUGCCUCUGAUACUGUAGGUCUUGAAUCCGAGAGAGAGUUGUGGAAUUCCGAGUGUAGCAGUGAAAUGUGUAGAUAUUCGGAAGAACACCAGUGGCGAAGGCAGCAACUUGGCUCGGUAUUGACGCUCAGGCACGAAAGCAUGGGGAUCAAACAGG
rnacentral:rRNA from 1 species